CCUGCUGCCUUGUGAAGAAGAUGCCUGCUUCCCCUUCUGCAUGAUUGCUACCCUCUUUGGGGCCCCUCCCUUUGUAUGGGAGCUCUGUUUUCAGGCUAUUAAAUCUUGCAACUGCACUCUCUUCUGGUCCGUGUUUGUUAUGGUUCGAGCUGAGCUUUUGCUCGAAGUCCACCACUGCCGUUUGCCGCCGUCGCAUACCGCCGCUGACUUCCACCCCUCUGGAUCCGGCAGGGUGUCCGCUGUGCUCCUGAUCCAGCGAUGCGCCCAUUGCCGCUCCCGAUUGGGCUAAAGGCUUGCCAUUGUUCCUGCAUGGCUAAGUGCCUGGGUUCAUCCUAAUCGAGCUGAACACUAGUCACUGGGUUCCACGGUUCUCUUCCGUGACCCACGGCUUCUAAUAGAGCUAUAACACUCACUGCGUGGCCCAAGGUUCCAUUCCUUGUAAUCCGUGAGGCCAAGAACCCAAAAUCAGAGAACCCGAGGCUUGCCACCAUCUUGGAAGUGGCCCACCGCCAUUUUGGAAGCAGCCCGCCACCAUCUUGGGAGCUCUGGGAGCAAGGACCCCCCCGGUAACAUUUUGGCGACCAAGAAGGGACCUCUAAAGCCGUUUCUGCAAGAUCCAGGGAAGAAGAGAAGAUACUACUAUGUGGAAGGGUGAAAAUGUGUCUUGAGUUGGCAGCUCAACAGGAACAUGAGCUUGCCUUAAGUCAUCUGUGUUUCUCCCACUCCUGGCAUUGUACAGUAGUCAGAGACUAAUUACAGUGGUGAUUAUAAAGUUAAUGAAGUUGAAAAAUUCACGGAAAUAAUUAUGUCUGAAUGAAUGGGAUAAAGAAUGUGACAUACAAGACAUAAUGACUAAUUGGACACUGAAAGAGCUGAUUUUGUGGACAUUCCUUCAUGAAAAAGAGUUCAGUGAGAGAAACAACGAAGUAUCAAUCACUUGACCUGAAAUAAUGAUGGGUUUGGCAAACAGGAAAGUAAAACAUAAAGAGGGUUUAGAAGACAACUGGAUAAUAAGCAGAUUCUUUGAGAUGACACAAAGAGCAAACCCUUCAUCAAUGACAUGCAGCUUGUGGAUUUGGAUGACACGGUUCUUUAAAAGAAGC
rnacentral:lncRNA from 1 species